GAUCCCUCCUCUGGAGUUUUGCAGUGAGCCCAGGAUGUAGAAACCAUCUUAGCAUUACUGUGUGCAGUAAAGCGAGCUAUCUUGUUCAACUCAGAGAAGGCUGGAUUUGAUUUCCACUCUCUUACAG